CAGUUCUGCUUUAUGUUCAUGCUUCAGCUCUUUGCCCUUUCUUGCAGAUUACACAAGGUUUUUAAAUAGUUAUUUGAGAUCUAAUCUUAGCUGCUGUGUCAGCUGCCCCCUGCUGAGGCUUAAACGCUUCUGCUGACCAGGAAAGCGGAGACUGCAGUCUCAAAAAGGAAUAUGUCACUUGCCUUCUAGAGAGCAGAGUGGAGAUGGGAAUGGAUAGGAAAAUGUUUUUCCCAGAAGAGUGAACAAUGGCAAGGCAUGAGAACAUGGGCUGAUGUACAUUUUCUGUGGUCCCAUGCCCUCUGGCAGUUUGUUCCUUCUCUCUAUGCUGCCACCUCCACAGUGCCACCACAAGUGCUUGCAUGCUUGCCUGGUGAGUCAGACCCAGCUGAACUGAUACAGCUAAAAAAAAAAAAAUUGUUUUGGACUUACUAUGCCUGCCAAAUCAUGUCCAGACUACAUGACCUGGGUUUCAGAGUUGGAAACUGGAGCAGAAUUUGUCACACCGGCAACUCAACAGCUCCAUCAAACCUGGUUCCUGCUGUGCCAAGCAUGCAGUGGGACUUUCAGGGUUGUGUUUUUCAUUAUUGGAGCAAUCUAAAAGUGUUCUGCACUUCCAAACAGGAGCUCUGAAGGAAACUUGAAUUUCAGAGCCCAUUGAAGCACCAAAACUGUAGGAACUGCAUCUGUGUUCUUCAUAGGCAAAGCUCCCACCAAAGGAAUGGGCAGAACAGUGGCCUUCGGACUGAUCAGAAAGAUGGUUUUUAAGUUAAUUUCCAGUGCCACCUCCCCCUCUGCUCCAGAAAUCAACCAUGUAGCAGUAACAGAGGGUGAGGAAGAACCAGAAUUUGAAGACUCCGAGGAAGAGCUAAGAGAUUAUGAAGAGCCAGAGGGUCCGUCUCGGCAGCCCCACGACCAAUGGCCAACCCAACAGUCAUGGUUUGCGGACUAUUAUCCGGAGUCGGAGUACCUUCCGGACCCACCGCGAUUCUGUUCUUCUUAAUUAAAAGAAAAGGGGGAGAUGUGGUGGUGCAUGUUUUUUAAAUUUGCUGUUUUAUGUAAAGUUUGGUUGAUUGUACAGUUCGGUUCUAUGUACCCCUACCCCCCUAAUUAAUAUUCCUUUGUUCUCUCCUUCUCCCUCACAAGGGGAUAUUUUUAGACCUUACAGUUUAUUGUCAGUCAUCCUUCCCGCCUUUGGUUUCCCCCUCCCAGUUAUCUGUGACUAGUCUGAAGUGCCUUUCCCCUCCCCUGUCUGCCCUAGAGACUGUAUCCCAUUGGCCGGAGGUGGCCAACCCCGCCCCUUUCUCCUCCCCUUUUGUUCCCCUUAAAACCUUGUGCACGACCUGCGUCUGGGUCCAGAUUUGGGCUCAGAGCUAGGCGAAUAAACCUUCUCUGCUGCACCAGAUCCGGAUCCUCCUUUAUUCCUCUGCUUUGCUGCCCGAACAUCUGCUCCUAAGCCCCUUCAGGGACACAGAGCCCGCAGGGAUCAGCUCUGCUCGCCCUGCUUGCGGACUGACCCUAGGCUGCGCCUUGUCCCAGUGUCUGGGCUAGCUUGGGGCGAGAGCCAGUGGCUCGAGGAGGCACUGCGGCAGGUCUGUUCAGUAUGAGUUUGAACAGAACAGGUAGAUUAUUUCAUGUACAAGAAAAAAGAGAAAAGAAAUUAAAAAAAAAAAACAAAA